GACGAACGCUGGAGGCGUGCUUAACACAUGCAAGUCGAACGAUGAAGCCGGAGCUUGCUCUGGUGAAUUAGUGGCGAACGGGUGAGUAACACGUGAGUAACCUGCCCUUGACUCUGGGAUAACUGCGGGAAACUGUAGCUAAUACCGGAUACGACCCUCGGAGGCAUCUCCUGGGGGUGGAAAGAAUUUCGGUCAAGGAUGGACUCGCGGCCUAUCAGCAAGUUGGUGAGGUAAAGGCUCACCAAGGCGACGACGGGUAGCCGGCCUGGGGGGGUGACCGGCCGCGCUGGGACUGGGACACGGCCCAGACUCCUACGGGAGGCAGCAGUGGGGAAUAUUGGGCAAUGGAGGAAACUCUGACCCAGCGACGCCGCGUGAGGGAUGAAGGCCUUCGGGUUGUAAACCUCUUUCAGCAGGGAAUAAGCGAAAGUGAAGGUACCUGCAGAAGAAGCACCGGCUAACUAUGUGCCAGCAGCCGCGGUAA
rnacentral:rRNA from 1 species